ensembl:miRNA MIR590 microRNA 590
UAGCCAGUCAGAAAUGAGCUUAUUCAUAAAAGUGCAGUAUGGUCCAGUCAGUCUGUAAUUUUAUGUAUAAGCUAGUCUCUGACUGAAACCUGCAGCA